AUCUAGCCCCGAUGGAAGCGGCAUCCUGCGCGCCACGAAAGUGGCGUGCAGAUAAAGCGGACAGCGGGUUGAAAC
rnacentral:sRNA from 1 species